GACGUAGGAGGCGAGCGUUAUCCGGAUUUACUGGGCGUAAAGGGCGUGUAGGCGGUUCUCCAAGUCUCUGGUGAAAUCUCCCGGCUUAACUGGGAGGCUGCCAGAGAAACUAGGGAACUUGAGGACAGAAUAGGGGAGUGGAAUUCCCGGUGUAGUGGUGAUAUGCGUAGAGAUCGGGAGGAACACCAGUGGCGAAAGCGGCUCCCUGGUCUGCACCUGACGCUGAGGCGCGAAAGCGUGGGGAGCAAACAGG
rnacentral:rRNA from 1 species